CGGGGACGAUAAUGACGGUAGCCGGAGAAGAAGCCCCGGCUAACUUCGUGCCAGCAGCCGCGGUAAUACGAAGGGGGCUAGCGUUGCUCGGAAUUACUGGGCGUAAAGGGCGCGUAGGCGGAUCGUUAAGUCAGAGGUGAAAUCCCAGGGCUCAACCCUGGAACAGCCUUUGAUACUGGCGAUCUUGAGUAUGAGAGAGGAAUGUGGAACUCCGAGUGUAGAGGUGAAAUUCGUAGAUAUUCGGAAGAACACCAGUGGCGAAGGCUACAUACUUGCUCAUUACUGACGCUGAGGCGCGAAAGCGUGGGGAGCAAACAGGAUUAGAUACCCUGGUAGUCCACGCCGUAACCGAUGAUUGCUAGUUGUCGGGCUGCACGCAGUUCGGUGACGCAGCUAACGCAUUAAGCAAUCCGCCUGGGGAGUACGGUCGCAAG
rnacentral:rRNA from 1 species